UCUGAUUACUUAAGUGAAGAGGUCAAACACCAGAUGUCACAUUUCUGUCCUGACGUCUUGUGUAGGUCACUUAUAAAGUUGUCUGACAACUCCAGUACGUCGUCACAGGUAAUCACAGCAUCACCACCCCCCACAACAACACCGACAAGAUGAAAGCCAUCAUCAGCGCCAUUGUUGUCGUCGCUACCGUCUGCUACUUUAUGGCUGCAGCCAGCGCGAGUCCAAUCAUUGGAGACUGUUUUUGUCUGCUCGGUAUGAACUGUCCCUGUUUGUCGGCUUAACUGUGAAAACCGUGAUCCGUCUUCUCCUAAAAUUGAAACGUGACACGACCUUGCUUGCUUGCCAUGAAGCCUGUCUUGCAUCGUGACAUGAUCUGGAAUGUGACAUGUUCUUGAACGUGACAUCAUUUAA